UACGUAGGUGGCAAGCGUUAUCCGGAUUUAUUGGGCGUAAAGGGAACGCAGGCGGUCUUUUAAGUCUGAUGUGAAAGCCUUCGGCUUAACCGGAGUAGUGCAUUGGAAACUGGGAGACUUGAGUGCAGAAGAGGAGAGAGGAACUCCAUGUGUAGCGGUGAAAUGCGUAGAUAUAUGGAAGAACACCAGUGGCGAAAGCGGCUCUCUGGUCUGUAACUGACGCUGAGGUUCGAAAGCGUGGGUAGCAAACAGG
rnacentral:rRNA from 1 species